GGCUGGGUAGCUCAGUUGGUUAGAGCAUUGUCUUGAUAUGCCAAGGUUGUGGGUUUGAUCCCCAUCAUGGCAC
rnacentral:tRNA from 1 species